GAUGAAGAACGUAGCGAAAUGCGAUACUUGGUGUGAAUUGCAGAAUCCCGUGAACCAUCGAGUCUUUGAACGCAAGUUGCGCCCGAAGCCAUUAGGCCGAGGGCACGCCUGCCUGGGCGUCACACGUCGUUGCCCCCCCAUCUACUCCUUCGGGAUUGCGGGGGGCGGAUGAUGGCCUCCCGUGCGCCUCGUCGCGCGGUUGGCCUAAAUGCCAAGUCCUCGGCGACGCACGCCACGACAAUCGGUGGUUGCGAAACCUCGGUUGCCUGUCGUGUGCGGUCGUCGCGCAUCGAGGGCUCGAAAAAAUUGGCGGGCUUCGGCUCGACUUUCAACGCGACCCCAGGUCAGGCGGGGUUACCCGCUGAAUUUAAGCAUAUCAAUAAGCGGAGGA
rnacentral:misc_RNA from 1 species